UUGACCCUGGGGUAUGUGUGUGUGAGGACAUGUCUCUGUCUCUCUGUUUUUCAUGUCACUCUCUUGACGUGUCAGUCUGUCUCAUGUCCCCAUCUGUCCCUUUUUUUUUUUUUUGAAAUGGAGUCUUGCUCUGUCACCCAGGCUAGAGUGCAGUGGUGCAAUCUCGGCUCACUGCCAGCUCCACCUCCUGGGUUCACGCCAUUCUCCUGCCUCAGCCUCCUGCGUAGCUGGGACUACAGGCGCCCGCCACCACGUCUGGCUAAUUUUUUGUAUUUUUAGUAGAGACAGGGUUUCACUGUGUUAGCCAGGAUGGUCUCAAUCUGACCUCAUGAUCCGCCCGCCUCGGCCUCCCAAAGUGCUGGGAUUACAGGCCUGAGCCACCAUGCCCGGCCCCCAUCUGUCCCUUUCUGCCAUCUCCAUGUCUCUAAGUCUGCAUCUAUUUCUUCUACCUCUGAGUCUGUAUUUCUUUUCUUCCCUUCUUCAUUUUCAGUCUCUGCUUUUGUGUCUCCUAGUCUCCAGGUUCUGUGUCUCCAUCCCUCUGACUUGCAUCUCCAUGUCUUCAUUUGUCCUUUUCUCCAUGUCUCUGGGUCGCCAUCACUUACUGCCUACCAAAAGCCCCUACCCUCAUGCUUAUACAUCUCUUCUCUCCCUGCCUCAGUUUAACCCAGAACUGGUGCUGGUCUCAGCUGGCUUUGAUGCUGCACGGGGGGACCCGCUGGGGGGCUGCCAGGUGUCACCUGAGGGUUAUGCCCACCUCACCCACCUGCUGAUGGGCCUUGCCAGUGGCCGCAUUAUCCUUAUCCUAGAGGGUGGCUAUAACCUGACAUCCAUCUCAGAGUCCAUGGCUGCCUGCACUCGCUCCCUCCUUGGAGACCCACCACCCCUGCUGACCCUGCCACGGCCCCCACUAUCAGGGGCCCUGGCCUCAAUCACUGAGACCAUCCAAGUCCAUCGCAGAUACUGGCGCAGCUUACGGGUCAUGAAGGUAGAAGACAGAGAAGGACCCUCCAGUUCUAAGUUGGUCACCAAGAAGGCACCCCAACCAGCCAAACCUAGGUUAGCUGAGCGGAUGACCACACGAGAAAAGAAGGUUCUGGAAGCAGGCAUGGGGAAAGUCACCUCGGCAUCAUUUGGGGAAGAGUCCACUCCAGGCCAGACUAAGUCAGAGACAGCUGUGGUGGCCCUCACUCAGGACCAGCCCUCAGAGGCAGCCACAGGGGGAGCCACUCUGGCCCAGACCAUUUCUGAGGCAGCCAUUGGGGGAGCCAUGCUGGGCCAGACCACCUCAGAGGAGGCUGUCGGGGGAGCCACUCCGGACCAGACCACCUCAGAGGAGACUGUGGGAGGAGCCAUUCUGGACCAGACCACCUCAGAGGAUGCUGUUGGGGGAGCCACGCUGGGCCAGACUACCUCAGAGGAGGCUGUAGGAGGAGCUACACUGGCCCAGACCACCUCGGAGGCAGCCAUGGAGGGAGCCACACUGGACCAGACUACGUCAGAGGAGGCUCCAGGGGGCACCGAGCUGAUCCAAACUCCUCUAGCCUCGAGCACAGACCACCAGACCACCCCAACCUCACCUGUGCAGGGAACUACACCCCAGAUAUCUCCCAGUACACUGAUUGGGAGUCUCAGGACCUUGGAGCUAGGCAGCGAAUCUCAGGGGGCCUCAGAAUCUCAGGCCCCAGGAGAGGAGAACCUACUAGGAGAGGCAGCUGGAGGUCAGGACAUGGCUGAUUCGAUGCUGAUGCAGGGAUCUAGGGGCCUCACUGAUCAGGCCAUAUUUUAUGCUGUGACACCACUGCCCUGGUGUCCCCAUUUGGUGGCAGUAUGCCCCAUACCUGCAGCAGGCCUAGACGUGACCCAACCUUGUGGGGACUGUGGAACAAUCCAAGAGAAUUGGGUGUGUCUCUCUUGCUAUCAGGUCUACUGUGGUCGUUACAUCAAUGGCCACAUGCUCCAACACCAUGGAAAUUCUGGACACCCGCUGGUCCUCAGCUACAUCGACCUGUCAGCCUGGUGUUACUACUGUCAGGCCUAUGUCCACCACCAGGCUCUCCUAGAUGUGAAGAACAUCGCCCACCAGAACAAGUUUGGGGAGGAUAUGCCCCACCCACACUAAGCCCCAGAAUACGGUCCCUCUUCACCUUCUGAGGCCCACGAUAGACCAGCUGUAGCUCAUUCCAGCCUGUACCUUGGAUGAGGGGUAGCCUCCCACUGCAUCCCAUCCUGAAUAUCCUUUGCAACUCCCCAAGAGUGCUUAUUUAAGUGUUAAUACUUUUAAGAGAACUGCGACGAUUAAUUGUGGAUCUCCCCCUGCCCAUUGCCUGCUUGAGGGGCACCACUACUCCAGCCCAGAAGGAAAGGGGGGCAGCUCAGUGGCCCCAAGAGGGAGCUGAUAUCAUGAGGAUAACAUUGGCGGGAGGGGAGUUAACUGGCAGGCAUGGCAAGGUUGCAUAUGUAAUAAAGUACAAGCUGUUAAAAAA
rnacentral:sRNA from 1 species